GGAUCCAGACUUUGAUUCUGGCUCAGGACGAACGCUGGCGGCGCGCCUAACACAUGCAAGUCGAGCGGGAAGCUUUUUAAGGAUUCUUCGGAUGAAUUAAAAAGUGGAGAGCGGCGGACGGGUGAGUAACGCGUGAGAAACCUGCCCUAUACAGGGGGAUAGCCAUUGGAAACGAUGAUUAAUACCCCAUAUGACCACGGUAUCGCAUGAUACAGCGGUGAAAACUCCGGUGGUAUAGGAUGGUCUCGCGUCUGAUUAGCUAGUUGGUGGGGUAACGGCCUACCAAGGCGACGAUCAGUAGCCGGCCUGAGAGGGUGACCGGCCACACUGGAACUGAGACACGGUCCAGACUCCUACGGGAGGCAGCAGUGGGGAAUAUUGCACAAUGGGCGAAAGCCUGAUGCAGCGACGCCGCGUGAACGAUGAAGGCUUUCGAGUCGUAAAGUUCUGUUCUUGGGGAAGAUAACGACGGUACCCAAGGAGAAAGCACCGGCUAAAUACGUGCCAGCAGCCGCGG
rnacentral:rRNA from 1 species